GAAUUCGCCCUUGUUUGAUCAUGGCUCAGGAUGAACGCUGGCGGCGUGCUUAACACAUGCAAGUCGAACGGGAAACCUUUUAUUGAAGCUUCGGCAGAUUUAGAUUGUUUCUAGUGGCGGACGGGUGAGUAACGCGUGGGUAACCUGCCUUAUACAGGGGGAUAACAGUCAGAAAUGACUGCUAAUACCGCAUAAGCGCACAGAGCUGCAUGGCUCGGUGUGAAAAACUCCGGUGGUAUAAGAUGGACCCGCGUUGGAUUAGCUAGUUGGUGAGGUAACGGCCCACCAAGGCGACGAUCCAUAGCCGGCCUGAGAGGGUGAACGGCCACAUUGGGACUGAGACACGGCCCAGACUCCUACGGGAGGCAGCAGUGGGGAAUAUUGCACAAUGGGGGAAACCCUGAUGCAGCGACGCCGCGUGAAGGAAGAAGUAUCUCGGUAUGUAAACUUCUAUCAGCAGGGAAGAAAAUGACGGUACCUGACUAAGAAGCCCCGGCUAACUACGUGCCAGCAGCCGCGGUAAUACGUAGGGGGCAAGCGUUAUCCGGAUUUACUGGGUGUAAAGGGAGCGUAGACGGAUGGACAAGUCUGAUGUGAAAGGCUGGGGCUCAACCCCGGGACUGCAUUGGAAACUGCCCG
rnacentral:rRNA from 1 species